CUGCGAAUAUUCUCACAAUUAUGCUUUUGUAAUAAUCAGGGCAGGCUAAACAUUCACUAUAAUAAAACCACGCAUGUGUCCUCAGACCUAGUUCUUUACCAACCUAGGUCUGGUCUUAGAAACGCUGGUAGGUAAG